rnacentral:rRNA from 1 species
UACAGAGGGGGGCAAGCGUUUGUUCGGAAUUACUGGGCGUAAAGGGCGCGUAGGCGCCUUCUAAGUCGAACGUGAAAUCCCCGGGCUCAACCCGGGAACUGCGUCCGAUACUGGAAGGCUUGAAUCCGGGAGAGGGAUGUGGAAUUCCAGGUGUAGCGGUGAAAUGCGUAGAUAUCUGGAGGAACACCGGUGGCGAAGGCGACAUCCUGGACCGGUAUUGACGCGUGAGGCGCGAAAGCGUGGGGAUCAAACAGGG